AAUAAAUAUAGUUUUGCACUAUUCAUGUUCAAUGUCUGUUCAUCUUACUUGAAUUUUUUAUUAGUAUUUUUAUUAUUAUUAAAUGAUAAAAUAUGAAUAGUACUUUAUACGUGAGUCUUUUUUUUUCAUAAAUUUUUCAAAUAAUACAGACAGACAAACGUUGGAUACGAAUAUCCAUGGCUACACUUAUC
rfam:Oryza barthii chromosome 3, whole genome shotgun sequence.